rnacentral:tRNA from 1 species
AUAAGAAUAGCAAAAAGUGCGUUAGACUUAAGCUCUAAAUAUGAAGAUGAAAGCUCUUCUUCUUAUA